rnacentral:rRNA from 1 species
AGUGAACGCUGGCGGUAGGCCUAACACAUGCAAGUCGAACGGCAGCACAGUAAGAGCUUGCUCUUACGGGUGGCGAGUGGCGUACGGGUGAGGAAUACAUCGGAAUCUACUUUUUCGUGGGGGAUAACGUAGGGAAACUUACGCUAAUACCGCAUACGACCUACGGGUGAAAGCAGGGGAUCUUCUGACCUUGCGCGAUUGAAUGAGCCGAUGUCGGAUUAGCUAGUUGGCGGGGUAAAGGCCCACCAAGGCGACGAUCCGUAGCUGGUCUGAGAGGAUGAUCAGCCAAAAUGGAACUGAGACACGGUCCAGACUCCUAAGGGAGGCAGCAGUGGGGAAUAUUGGAAAAUGGGCGCAAGCCUGAUCCAGCCAUACCGCGUGGGUGAAGAAGGCCUUCGGGUUGUAAAGCCCUUUUGUUGGGAAAGAAAAGCAGCAGGUUAAUACCCCGCUGUUCUGACGGUACCCAAAGAAUAAGCAACGGCUAACUUCGUG